AGGUCAUGUUGAGGACAACUUCUAAGCAAGCCCUUGUAUCGCUCCCGUGCUUCAUAUAAAGACUCUCCAAACCAUAAUUGAAAAUUAGCAAUCUUCUUUUUGAGUUU